GAUGAACGCUAGCUACAGGCUUAAUACAUGCAAGUCGAGGGGUCUUUUGAGGCUUGCUUCAAGAGACGACCGGCGCACGGGUGAGUAACGCGUAUCCAACCUGCCCUUCAUAUUGGGAUAGCCUUCCGAAAGGGAGAUUAAUACCUGAUGGUGUUCAAAUUCCGCAUGUUAUUUGAACUAAAGAUUCAUCGGUAACGGAUAGGGAUGCGUGACAUUAGAUAGUUGGCGGGGUAACGGCCCACCAAGUCGACGAUGUCUAGGGGUUCUGAGAGGAAGGUCCCCCACACUGGAACUGAGACACGGUCCAGACUCCUACGGGAGGCAGCAGUGAGGAAUAUUGGUCAAUGGACGCAAGUCUGAACCAGCCAUGUCGCGUGAAGGAUGACUGUCCUAUGGAUUGGUAAACUUCUUUAUAUGGGAUAAGUGUGAGACUUGUCUCAUUUUGCAUGUACCAUAUGAAUAAGCAUCGGCUAAUUCCGUGCCAGCA
rnacentral:rRNA from 1 species